UACGGGGGGAGCAAGCGUUGUUCGGAUUUACUGGGCGUAAAGGGCGCGUAGGCGGCGCGGUAAGUCGGGUGUGAAAUCUUGGAGCUUAACUCCGAAACUGCAUUCGAUACUGCCGUGCUUGAGGACUGGAGAGGAGACUGGAAUUUACGGUGUAGCGGUGAAAUGCGUAGAUAUCGUAAGGAAGACCAGUGGCGAAGGCGGGUCUCUGGACAGUUCCUGACGCUGAGGCACGAAGGCCAGGGGAGCAAACGGG
rnacentral:rRNA from 1 species